GGUGACGUGGCGGAGUGGUUACGCAGCGGACUGCAAAUCCGUGUACGCCGGUUCAAGUCCGGCCGUCACCU
rnacentral:tRNA from 1 species